rnacentral:pre_miRNA from 1 species
GGCACCAUUAGGCAGACUGGGAUUUGUUGUUGAGCGCAGUAAGACAACAACAAAAUCACUAGUCUUCCAGACGGGGCC